UACGGGGGGUGCGAGCGUUGUCCGGAAUCACUGGGCGUAAAGCGCACGUAGGCGGAUCUUUAAGUCAGGGGUGAAAUCCUGGAGCUCAACUCCAGAACUGCCUUUGAUACUGGGGAUCUCGAGUCCGGAAGAGGUGAGUGGAACUCCGAGUGUAGAGGUGAAAUUCGUAGAUAUUCGGAAGAACACCAGUGGCGAAGGCGGCUCACUGGUCCGGUACUGACGCUGAGGUGCGAAAGCGUGGGGAGCAAACAGG
rnacentral:rRNA from 1 species